GACGUAGGGCGCGAGCGUUGUCCGGAAUUAUUGGGCGUAAAGAGCUCGUAGGCGGCUUGUCGCGUCGUCUGUGAAAUCCCACGGCUCAACUGUGGGCUUGCAGUCGAUACGGGCAGGCUGGAGUUCGGUAGGGGAGACUGGAAUUCCUGGUGUAGCGGUGAAAUGCGCAGAUAUCAGGAGGAACACCGGUGGCGAAGGCGGGUCUCUGGGCCGAUACUGACGCUGAGGAGCGAAAGCGUGGGGAGCGAACAGG
rnacentral:rRNA from 1 species